rnacentral:rRNA from 1 species
AGCGAACGCUGGCGGCAGGCCUAACACAUGCAAGUCGAACGAACCUUUCGGGGUUAGUGGCGGACGGGUGAGUAACACGUGGGAACGUGCCUUUAGGUUCGGAAUAACUCAGGGAAACUUGUGCUAAUACCGAAUGUGCCCUUCGGGGGAAAGAUUAAUCGCCUUUAGAGCGGCCCGCGUCUGAUUAGCUAGUUGGUUGAGGUAAUGGCUCACCAAGGCGACGAUCAGUAGCUGGUCUGAGAGGAUGAUCAGCCACAUUGGGACUGAGACACGGCCCAAACUCCUACGGGAGGCAGCAGUAGGGAAUCUCGCGCAAUGGGCGAAAGCCUGACGCAGCCAUGCCGCGUGAAUGAUGAAGGUCUUAGGAUUGUAAAAUUCUUUCACCGGGGACGAUAAUGACGGUACCCGGAGAAGAAGCCCCGGCUAACUUCGUG